rnacentral:rRNA from 1 species
UACGUAGGCAGCGAGCGUUGUUCGGAAUUACUGGGGGUAAAGCGUGCGUAGGCGGUUUUGUAAGUUUGGUGUGAAAUCUCCCGGCUCAACUGGGAGGGUGCGCCGAAAACUGCAAGGCUGGAGUGUGGGAGAGGUAGGCGGAAUUCCUGGUGUAGCGGUGAAAUGCGUAGAUAUCAGGAGGAACACCUGUGGUGUAGACGGCUUACUGGACCAUGACUGACGCUGAGGCACGAAAGCGUGGGGAGCAAACAGG